CUGCUGCUGCUGCUGCUGCUGCUGCUGCUGCUGCUGCUGCUGCUGCUGCUGCUGCUGCUGCUGCUGCUGCUGCUGCUGCAUCCGGGAUUCACCUCAUCCACACAGGACGGGAUCCUGGAUUGAUCACGGUCUUCCAAGAACUGUCAAUAUUUAAGUCUGGAUGGAGGCGGCACAGGCGCCGCGCUAAUUCAAUGGAAAUUCAGCUGCAACUCCUGAUGCAGAAGUUACGCCUCCCGAAGCGCAAAGACUCCCAUUAAAGCUUCUAAAGUCUCCAAUCAACCAACAUGAGUGAUCCCUCUCUUUUGACAUUACUCCACUCGAUUGCCCGUUUACCCCCGAGUCAAGUUUGAGGCGGGCAUGAAGUGUAAAAGAGGUGGGCCAUGUCAUAUCCGCUCAGUGUGCAUGGGAUUGUUGGCAUGCACGGCGGUGAUCAUUGUUCAGGGAGAACAAUUCCUGCUCAGAGCAGGCAGGGAAAAGUGAGGAGAACGGUUGGGAACUGGGGCUGAUGAAACGGUUUGUUUGCAGGUUUUUCCUCAUCAGGAAAUAUGAAAGUAAAGUAUAUCACAAGCACAUUUUUUGUUUGUUUGUUUUUAAGUCACAUUUGUCCACAGAUAAGAUUCCACCAUUAAAGUUGCUAAAUUUGAGUAACAUUUCUCUCUCCUUCCUUGGACACAAAGGCAAUUUCAGUACCAUAUAAUGCAUAUUAAGAUAUUGAAACACUUAUAUAUUAACUAUUCUACACUGAUUAGACAAAAUAUUAGAAUUGAAUAAGUACAAUUGAUGAAGCACUUUGCAUAUAUUUUCUUUGGAGGCUUUCUGAGUUGAAUGAUUUAAGCUCAACAGUCAGCAUGAAGAUUAGUGACUCGGCGAGUUAACUAGUUAGCACGGUUCUUUUUCUUAUCUGUUCUCCACGGUGGGAAAGAAGAACAAAAAGCUAUUUUUUUGUGUAUAAAGAAUGAAAUAUUGCUGAUACAAUUUAGUAAAUCUUUUCUAAAAAGAUUUUCCCUAACAACAAAGUUAUGCCACUUAUUUAUCCGCACGUUAGGAUGUUCAACAGUAGCUUUAGCACUGUUGCUAAACUACUUCAAGAUGGAUACAAACUUAAAUCGUUGUUGCAGUGCACUAUUUCAACCGCAAAUCUCCAGGUAAUUGUUAAUUUUGAUAUCUUCAUAUAAUACCUAUAUAUAUAAAUAUAUAAUAAAAUUUGACUGACUCAACGUCUUCACUUCCGUUUUUCUCGAAUGUUUAAGUAUAAAUUUUAUUAAAGUAACACAAUAUCUGUAUAAUUCAACCACAAUUUUACACUGCAAAAACAAACUAAUAUAGGUGACCCAAAUCUACAAAUAUUAAUGGGUGUGAUUUAUUUAAUUUUUAUGUGAGCUUAAGCAUUUAAUGGAUGGAUCUGUUGUACUAAUGAGAGAGUUCUGCUUUUGAACUCCAUGUUGACUGAAAAUUAAUUAUCUUGAAUCUUUCCGCAGAAACAAAUUGAAUCUCUAAAACAUUGAGAUCAGAAUCAGAAUGUUUUUAUUUGUAUUGUACCGAAGCGAUAAUACAAUUAAUUUAAGCACAUUAUAAGAAUUUGAUGUUUGCAGUUUUAGGAAAAUGUAUUUUCCAGUCCAAUGACGUAAGUCAACUCUGAAGUGUAUUACAGCUAAGUAGUAGGCUACACGUUUAUUGCACACAAAUAAAAUUAAUCUCACUGACCUAAAAUGAACGUCACCGUUUCAGUGAUUAAUCAGGCAUUUACCUAACUCUCACAUGGUUGCUAUAGGCAAUAGGUUAACACUGUAUCCUGUACAUUAUGGGGUCUCAGGUGUGUGUGUUUUCAUCGAGCCAAUCAGAGGACUCACCAGCCAAUCAGAGGUGUUGUCCGAAAUCAACCGUCCCGUAACUGGAAACUAUAGACAAGUCUACUUAUUUACGGCCGAGCAGAGCCCGUCCGAUCUGAUUAUGGUCGGUAUAUUGGAUCAAUAACUGAUGUCUGAGAGAACCGAGAAGGGUGGAGUGCAGGGACAGGAGGGUGCAACAGGUCAUUCGUUAGAAAGGAGGAGCCAUUGAACUCUUUAUUAUUAAUUAUUAUUAUUAUUAUUAUUAUUAUUAUUAUUAUUAUUAUUAUUAUUAUUAUUAUUCUUGUUAUUAUUGUUGUUGUUGUAGGAGUAGUCCCCAAGUCACUAACCAAAAGUGCACAAUU